rnacentral:rRNA from 1 species
GACGAACGCUGGCGGCGUGCUUAACACAUGCAAGUCGAACGAAGUGGCGAACGGGUGAGUAACGCGUAAUCAACCUGCCCUUCAGAGGGGGACAACAGUUGGAAACGACUGCUAAUACCGCAUACUGAAGGAGGGGAUUGCGUCGGAUUGGAUAGUUUGAGGGGUAACGGCCCACCAAGGCGAGGAGCAGUAGCCGGUCUGAGAGGAGGAACGGCCACAUUGGGACUGAGACACGGCCCAGACUCCUACGGGAGGCAGCAGGGGGGAAUCUGCCGCAAUGGACGAAAGUCUGACGGAGCAACGCCGCGGGAGUGAUGACGGCCUGCGGGUUGUAAAGCUCUGUUAAUCGGGACGCGGUACCGGAAUAGAAAGCCACGGCUAACUACGUGCCAGCAGCCGCGGUAAUAC